AACGAACGCUGGCGGCAUGCCUAACACAUGCAAGUCGAGCGAGCCCUUCGGGUCUAGUGGCGGACGCGUGCGUAACGCGUGGGAUCCUGCCCUUAAAUUCGCCUUAACUCGCCGAAAGGGGUCCUAAUACCGGUUCUUGUCCUCGGGCCAAAGAUUUAUAGCGUUUGGAUGGGCCUGCGUUGGAUUCGCUAGUUGUUAGCGUAAAAGGCUAUCAAGGCGAGGUGCCUUAACUGGUUUGCGAGGCUGCUUACCGACACUGGGACUGAGACACGGCCCAGAGUCCUACGGGAUGCAGCAGUGGAGAAUAAUGGACAACGGGCGAAAGCUGGAGCCACAUAUGCUGCGUGAGUGAUGAAGGCGUGAGGGUUGGAAAGUUCUUUUACCCGUGAUGUUAUUGACAGUACCGGGAGAAUAAGCUCAGGCUAACUCCGUG
rnacentral:rRNA from 1 species